UAGCGGCGAGUGAAGCGGCAAAAGCUCAAAUUUGAAAUCUGGCACCUUCGGUGUCCGAGUUGUAAUUUGAAGAUUGUAACCUUGGGGUUGGCUCUUGUCUAUGUUUCUUGGAACAGGACGUCACAGAGGGUGAGAAUCCCGUGCGAUGAGAUGCCCAAUCCUAUGUAAGGUGCUUUCGAAGAGUCGAGUUGUUUGGGAAUGCAGCUCUAAGUGGGUGGUAAAUUCCAUCUAAAGCUAAAUAUUGGCGAGAGACCGAUAGCGAACAAGUACAGUGAUGGAAAGAUGAAAAGAACUUUGAAAAGAGAGUGAAAAAGUACGUGAAAUUGUUGAAAGGGAAGGGUUUGAGAUCAGACUCGAUAUUUUGUGAGCCUUGCCUUCGUGGCGGGGUGACCCGCAGCUUAUCGGGCCAGCAUCGGUUUGGGCGGUAGGAUAAUGGCGUAGGAAUGUGACUUUGCUUCGGUGAAGUGUUAUAGCCUGCGUUGAUGCUGCCUGCCUAGACCGAGGACUGCGAUUUUAUCAAGGAUGCUGGCAUAAUGAUCCCAAACCGCCCGUCUUGAAACACGAGACCAUG
rnacentral:rRNA from 1 species